rnacentral:lncRNA from 13 species
UGCCCACUGGAGUUGGUUUUCCCUUGUGUCAGCCUUGGGGGAGCCUGCAGAACUCCCUCUUUCCUUGCAGGAAUUCCCGCUGGGGAGCGAGCAGGCCUGCAGGCUCUCUGCCCCUUCUCCAGCCUUUCGAAACAGACUCGACUUGGGGAAAUCAAUUACCAAUCAAAAUCAGAGCAGGAUGAUGAGAAGUAGAAAUCUUAAAAACACUUCCCCCCCCUGCCCCCCCCCCCUUUCUUUCCUGGGCUCUCCAUCCUCCCUCCCAUCGUCACAGGGAGACAGGGAAUGAGGGCCAUGGUCAGUUCAUCAUACCUUGUUUCUGUCCCUGCUCCAGGAGAGGGGUCGUAGUCCUUCCCCUGCUCCAGCCUGGGGUCCCUCCCACAGGAGCUAUUUCUCCAUGAACUUCCCCAGCCUGAGUCCUUCCUGUGGGCUGCAGUUUAAUCUUUCAUCCCCGAGGUGUCACCACCAUCUCUGCUGGUCUCAGCCUUGGCCAGCAGUGGGUGUGUCCUGGAGCUGGUGGUGUUGGCUCUGCCGGAGGUGGGGAAAGGUUCUGGCAACUUCUCACAAAGGCCACCCCUGUAGCCCCCUCGCUCCCAAAACCUGGCCAUGCAAACCCAACACAACCUGACAACUGCUAUGGGUGAUGUGGGGCUUCAUGGUGCCCUUGGGCCAUUGUGACACUGCAGGGCCUCAUGACCCCAAGGGGCCAUUGUGACACUGCAGGGCCACAUCCUGCCCCUGGGGUAUUUAAGGAGCCGCCCUGGGGUACCCACUCAAGCAGAACAUCUUGCUCAGGAAGCAGCAGCUUCCCAGGACACCUGUGGAAAAGGAGCCAUGGAGGAGCAGAACCCAAACCCCCAGAGCCCUGAGGAGAGGCACCAGCUGAGAGAUGGAGGGAGAGGCCAACGGGAGGAUGGCACCAGGCGCACCAGCACCCUGCCCGGGCAGCUGCCUGCCCCCCACACCUCUUCCUCCUCCCGCCCACAGCUGCAGCAGCGGCAGCCUCGGGGCACCCAGAGCCGGUCCAUGCCCCGCAUGAGUGCGCCCUGCAGCACCCAGGGCCAGUCCCUGCCCCAGUCCCUGCCCCGGCUGACAUCGCCCCGCAGCUCCAGGGGCACCGGGAGAGCGGACGAGGGGCCGCGGGGCCAAGGCUCCCAGGGCCGCAGGGCCCGUCCCGGUGGCUCCUCGCAGCCGGCCAUCCUGGCCAGCAGAGUCGCAGCCCGUGGCCAGCACCGGCCCGUGAGAAGCUGCUGGGCCUGCAGCAGCCGGGUGGGGCUGGAACUGGCCUCCACGAGGAAACCAUCUCCUGGCCCACAGAGAGAGGCCUCUCACUGUGUCGAGCAGGAAACCCAGACUGAGACCUGGGCACAAGAGGCAGAUUCAGCUGCUCAAUAUGCUGAGCAGGGGACACAGACAGAUACCGUGACAGAAGAGGAGAAAAAUUCAGCUGCUCCCCUCAUGGCUGACCAAGAGACAGAGACUCCAACACAAGAGGAGAAUUCAGCUUCUCCUCAAACCACUGACCGGGGGACACAGACCAAAGCCCACAGGUCUGCCGCCUCGACAGGUAUUGAUGCCCUGGCGCGCCGGCAGCAGCUCUCCCUGUUCCGCAGGGCCUCCUGGUGCUCCUGCCCAGCUGGACAGCCCGGGACCGCGCCUCACGCUGCCAGCGCCCUGUGGGAUCCCAGGGACAGCCACUGCUCCAAGCGCCCACAGCGUCCUGAGCGUGGCACACCAGAGAAGUGGGGAUGGAUGGCACUGCCACCCUACUGUUGGCCAUGGCUCAUCGAGAUGAGUCAGUUCUAAUAAAAUAUUUCAUUUCUCUAAUCGUGCCCAUCUGUGCCUGGUCCCUCAGGAGAAAGACAGCUGCAGGUAAGGCCUGUGCAGAGCAGGAGAGCCCCUGUGCUUCUCCAGCCAAGCCGAGCCUGUGCCCUCAGCCUCUCCCAGGCUCCAGGUGCUCCAGCUCC